GUGCCAGCAGCCGCGGUAAUACGUAGGUGGCAAGCGUUGUCCGGAUUUAUUGGGCGUAAAGCGAGCGCAGGCGGUUUCUUAAGUCUGAUGUGAAAGCCUUCGGCUCAACCGAAGAAGUGCAUCGGAAACUGGGAAACUUGAGUGCAGAAGAGGACAGUGGAACUCCAUGUGUAGCGGUGAAAUGCGUAGAUAUAUGGAAGAACACCAGUGGCGAAGGCGGCUGUCUGGUCUGUAACUGACGCUGAGGCUUGAAAGCAUGGGUAGCAAACAGGAUUAGAUACCCUGGUAGUCCAUGCCGUAAACGAUGAGUGCUAGGUGUUGGAGGGUUUCCGCCCUUCAGUGCCGCAGCUAACGCAUUAAGCACUCCGCCUGGGGAGUACGACCGCAAGGUUGAAACUCAAAGGAAUUGACGGGGGCCCGCACAAGCGGUGGAGCAUGUGGUUUAAUUCGAAGCAACGCGAAGAACCUUACCAGGUCUUGACAUCCUUUGACCACUCUAGAGAUAGAGCUUUCCCUUCGGGGACAAAGUGACAGGUGGUGCAUGGUUGUCGUCAGCUCGUGUCGUGAGAUGUUGGGUUAAGUCCCGCAACGAGCGCAACCCUUAUUACUAGUUGCCAGCAUUAAGUUGGGCACUCUAGUGAGACUGCCGGUGACAAACCGGAGGAAGGUGGGGACGACGUCAAAUCAUCAUGCCCCUUAUGACCUGGGCUACACAUGUGCUACAAUGGAUGGUACAACGAGUUGCGAGACCGCGAGGUUUAGCUAAUCUCUUAAAACCAUUCUCAGUUCGGAUUGUAGGCUGCAACUCGCCUACAUGAAGCCGGAAUCGCUAGUAAUCGCGGAUCAGCAUGCCGCGGUGAAUACGUUCCCGGGCCUUGUACACACCGCCCGU
rnacentral:rRNA from 1 species